GAUGAAGAACGCAGCGAAAUGCGAUAAGUAAUGUGAAUUGCAGAAUUCAGUGAAUCAUCGAAUCUUUGAACGCACAUUGCGCCCGCCAGCCAUUCUGGCGGGCAUGCCUGUCCGAGCGUCAUUUCAACCAUCAAGCCCCGUGCUUGUGUUGGGGAGCUGCGGGCCCUCCGGGGCGCGCAGGCCCUGAAAUGCAGUGGCGGACUCGCUGACACACCGAGCGUAGUAGCAUAAUUCUCGCUCUGGGCGUGCUGCGGGUACCGGCCGUGAAACGACCACUCGAGAGAGAGGACACCCAAAGGUUGACCUCGGAUCAGGUAGGAAUACCCGCUGAACUUAAGCAUAUCAAUAAGCGGAGGA
rnacentral:misc_RNA from 1 species